rnacentral:rRNA from 1 species
AUGCGUAGUGAUCGUCUUUUCGGGUCGUGUCGUAAGUAUAAGCAAUUUAUACAGUGAAACUGCGAAUGGCUCAUUAAAUCAGUUAUCGUUUAUUUGAUAGUACCUUUACUACUUGGAUAACCGUGGUAAUUCUAGAGCUAAUACAUGCUAAAAAUCCCGACUGUUUGGAAGGGAUGUAUUUAUUAGAUAAAAAAUCAAUGCUCUUUGAGCUCUUUGAUGAUUCAUAAUAACUUUUCGAAUCGCAUGGCCUUGUGCUGGCGAUGGUUCAUUCAAAUUUCUGCCCUAUCAACUUUCGAUGGUAGGAUAGUGGCCUACCAUGGUUUCAACGGGUAACGGGGAAUAAGGGUUCGAUUCCGGAGAGGGAGCCUGAGAAACGGCUACCACAUCCAAGGAAGGCAGCAGGCGCGCAAAUUACCCAAUCCCGACACGGGGAGGUAGUGACAAUACAUAACGAUACAGGGCCCUUUCGGGUCUUGUAAUUGGAAUGAGUACAAUGUAAAUACCUUAACGAGGAACAAUUGGAGGGCAAGUCUGGUGCCAGCAGCCGCGGUAAUUCCAGCUCCAAUAGCGUAUAUUAAAGUUGUUGCAGUUAAAAAGCUCGUAGUUGAACUUUGGGCUUGGUUGGCCGGUCCGCCUUUUUGGCGAGUACUGGACCCAACCGAGCCUUUCCUUCUGGCUAACCAUUCGCCCUUGUGGUGUUUGGCGAACCAGGACUUUUACUUUGAAAAAAUUAGAGUGUUCAAAGCAGGCCUUUGCUCGAAUAUAUUAGCAUGGAAUAAUAGAAUAGGACGUUAUGGUUCUAUUUUGUUGGUUUCUAGGACCAUCGUAAUGAUUAAUAGGGACGGUCGGGGGCAUCAGUAUUCAGUUGUCAGAGGUGAAAUUCUUAGAUUUACUGAAGACUAACUACUGCGAAAGCAUUUGCCAAGGACGUUUUCAUUAAUCAAGAACGAAAGUUAGGGGAUCGAAGAUGAUCAGAUACCGUCGUAGUUCUUAACCAUAAACUAUGCCGACUAGGGAUCGGUGUUGUUCUUUUUUUGACGCCACUCGGCACUUACGAGAAAUCAAAGUCUUUGGGUUCUGGGGGAGUAUUGGUCGCAGGCUGAACUUAAAGAUUGACGGAGGGCACCACCAAGAGUGAGCCUGCCGCUAUUUGGACCUCACACAGGGCACCUCACCAAGUCGACCAUUAUGCAUUGGACAGAUUGAGAAGCUCUUUCUUUGAAU